UACGUAGGGUGCUAGCGUUGUCCGGAAUCAUUGGGCGUAAAGCGCGUGUAGGCGGUCCGGUAAGUCUGCUGUGAAAGUCGAGGGCUCAACCCUCGAAUGCCGGUGGAUACUGUCGGGCUUGAGUACGGAAGAGGCGAGUGGAAUUCCUGGUGUAGCGGUGAAAUGCGCAGAUAUCAGGAGGAACACCAAUUGCGAAGGCAGCUCGCUGGGACGUUACUGACGCUGAGACGCGAAAGCGUGGGGAGCAAACAGG
rnacentral:rRNA from 1 species